CCCUNNUUAAACCCGAACCAAGGAGUGCAAGAGAUGCGCAAGUCGGAAGGGUUGUGUCGGGGCUUUCCUUCGGGACUGCCUCGCCUGAGAGACCCAUGUGUUUGGAACAGGCGAAGUGAGAGCAAUUCGUGGGUGCGAGAGCCAAAGGGAGACCUGAGGCGCAUCGCUGGCCGAGCCAAGGUCACGCUGUGGCCGGUUUCGAGUACGAGCGUAUCUGUUGCGACCCGAAAGAUGGUGAACUAUGCCUGAGGAGGGUGAAGCCAGAGGAAACUCUGGUGGAGGCCCGUAGCGGUUCUGACGUGCAAAUCGAUCGUCGCACUUGGGUAUAGGGGCGAAAGACUAAUCGAACCAUCUAGUAGCUGGUUCCCUCCGAAGUUUCCCUCAGGAUAGCUGGAGCUCGUUCCGAGCAGUUUCGUCGGGUAAAGCGAAUGAUUAGAGGUAUCGGGGUUGAAAGGGCCUCGCCCUAUUCUCAAACUUUAAAUCGGCGAGAAGGGUCUGUCUUGCCUGCCGGAAGACGAUCCUUGAAUGCAGGGGCUCCAAGUGGGCCGUUUUUGGUAAGCAGAACCGGCGAUGCGGGAUGAACCGAACGCUAGGCUAUGGCGCCGGAGUCGACGCUGAGCAGAUACCAGGAAAGGUGUUGGUUGAU
rnacentral:rRNA from 1 species